rnacentral:rRNA from 1 species
CAAUAGCGUAUAUUUAAGUUGUUGCAGUUAAAAAGCUCGUAGUUGGAUUUCUGCUGAGAACGACCGGUCCGCCCUCUGGGUGUGUAUCUGGCUCUUUCUUGGCAUCUUCUUGGUGAACGUUGCUGCACUUGACUGUGUGGAGCGCUACCCAGGACUUUUACUUUGAGGAAAUUAGAGUGUUUCAAGCAGGCAUACGCCUUGAAUACAUUAGCAUGGAAUAAUAAGAUAGGACCUCGGUUCUAUUUUGUUGGUUUCUAGAGCUGAGGUAAUGAUUAAUAGGGAUAGUUGGGGGCAUUCGUAUUUAACUGUCAGAGGUGAAACUCUUGGAUUUGUUAAAGACGGACUACUGCGAAAGCAUUUGCCAAGGAUGUUUUCAUUGA